AAGGUUCCGUAGUGGUUCGCUGCGAAAUCAGUCUGCUUAGCAGGCAACAUCUCUACUGUGCUAGAAAUUACAAUAGUAUUACUAGCAGCCUGCUUAGCAGGUUCACAGAUCAAAUAGAGGUGGCCCUCUGGGGUUAAGAUAUGAUCGAUUUAAUGCUGAAACAGCAUUUUUCUAGUGGAACCUGCGGAAGGAUCAUUAA
rnacentral:rRNA from 1 species